rnacentral:misc_RNA from 1 species
GAUGAAGAACGUAGCGAAAUGCGAUAAGUAAUGUGAAUUGCAGAAUUCAGUGAAUCAUCGAAUCUUUGAACGCACAUUGCGCCCGCUAGUAUUCUGGCGGGCAUGCCUGUCCGAGCGUCAUUACAACCCUCAAGCUCAGCUUGGUGUUGGGCCCCGCCGCCCCGGCGGGCCCUAAAGUCAGUGGCGGUGCCGUCCGGCUCCGAGCGUAGUAAUUCUUCUCGCUCUGGAGGUCCGGUCGUGUGCUCGCCAGCAACCCCCAAUUUUUUUCAGGUUGACCUCGGAUCAGGUAGGGAUACCCGCUGAACUUAAGCAUAUCAAUAAGCGGAGGA